CAAAGAAUAGUUUAGCUUAGAAUCUUAGCUUUGGGAGUUAAGGGUAGGAGUUAAAAUCUCCUUUCUUUGA
rnacentral:tRNA from 1 species